rnacentral:rRNA from 1 species
UUGACCUCGGAUCAGGUAGGAAUACCCGCUGAACUUAAGCAUAUCAAUAAGCGGAGGAAGGGACAUUCCGAG